rnacentral:rRNA from 1 species
CAGUCGAACGAGUUCUCGUUGAUGAUCGGUGCUUGCACCGAGAUUCAACAUGGAACGAGUGGCGGACGGGUGAGUAACACGUGGGUAACCUGCCCUUAAGUGGGGGAUAACAUUUGGAAACAGAUGCUAAUACCGCAUAGAUCCAAGAACCGCAUGGUUCUUGGCUGAAAGAUGGCGUAAGCUAUCGCUUUUGGAUGGACCCGCGGCGUAUUAGCUAGUUGGUGAGGUAAUGGCUCACCAAGGCGAUGAUACGUAGCCGAACUGAGAGGUUGAUCGGCCACAUUGGGACUGAGACACGGCCCAAACUCCUACGGGAGGCAGCAGUAGGGAAUCUUCCACAAUGGACGCAAGUCUGAUGGAGCAACGCCGCGUGAGUGAAGAAGGCUUUCGGGUCGUAAAACUCUGUUGUUGGAGAAGAAUGGUCGGCAGAGUAACUGUUGUCGGCGUGACGGUAUCCAACCAGAAAGCCACGGCUAACUACGUGCCAGCAGCCGCGGUAAUACGUAGGUGGCAAGCGUUAUCCGGAUUUAUUGGGCGUAAAGCGAGCGCAGGCGGUUUUUUAAGUCUGAUGUGAAAGCCCUCGGCUUAACCGAGGAAGCGCAUCGGAAACUGGGAAACUUGAGUGCAGAAGAGGACAGUGGAACUCCAUGUGUAGCGGUGAAAUGCGUAGAUAUAUGGAAGAACACCAGUGGCGAAGGCGGCUGUCUGGUCUGUAACUGACGCUGAGGCUCGAAAGCAUGGGUAGCGAACAGGAUUAGAUACCCUGGUAGUCCAUGCCGUAAACGAUGAAUGCUA